AUUGAACGCUGGCGGCAGGCUUAACACAUGCAAGUCGAGCGAGCGGCGGACGGGUGAGUAAUGUCUGGGAAACUGCCUGAUGGAGGGGGAUAACUACUGGAAACGGUAGCUAAUACCGCAUACCAUCAGAUGUGCCCAGAUGGGAUUAGCUAGUAGGUGGGGUAAUGGCUCACCUAGGCGACGAUCCCUAGCUGGUCUGAGAGGAUGACCAGCCAAACUGGAACGUGGACACGGUCCAGAACCCUACGGGAGGGCGCAGGGGGGAAUAUUGGAAAAUGGGCGCAAGCCUGAAUGAGCCCUGGCGCGUGUGUGAAGAAGGCCUUUGGGUUGUAAAGCACUUUCAGCGAGGAGGCGUUACUCGCAGAAGAAGCACCGGCUAACUCCGUGCCAGCAGCCGCGGUAAUUC
rnacentral:rRNA from 1 species